GAUGAACGCUGGCGGCGUGCCUAAUACAUGCAAGUCGUGGGAGCAGAUGAGGAGAUUGCUACAGUGACGUUAGCGGCGGACAGGUGAGUAAAACGUGGAUAACCUUCCUAUAAGACUGGGAUAACUUCGGGAAAACGGAGCUAAUACCGGAUAAUAUAUUGAACCGCAUGGUUCCAUAGUGAAAGACGGUUUUGCUGUCACUUAUAGAUGGAUCCGCGCCGAAUUAGUUAGUUGGUAAGUUAACGGCUUAACAAAGCAACGAUGCGUAGCCGACCUGAGAGGGUGAUCCGCUACACUGCAACGGAGACACGGUCCAGACUCCUACGGUAAGCAGCGUUAGAGAAUCUUCCGCAAUGGGCGAAAGCCUAACGGAGCAACGCCGCGUGAGUUAUGAAGGUCUGCUGAUCUUAGAACUCUGUUAUUAGUGAAGAACAAAUGUGUAAGUAACUAUGCACGUCUUGACGGUACCUAAUCAGAAAGCCACGGCUAACUACGUG
rnacentral:rRNA from 1 species